UGAAGCGAAAGCGGAACGACCCUUCGGGGAGCAAUCACAGGUGCUGCAUGGCUGUCGUCAGCUCGUGUCGUGAGAUGUUCGGUUAAGUCCGCUAACGAGCGCAACCCUCGCCGCGUGUUACAAGUGUCACGCGGGACUGCCAGUCUUAAGCUGGAGGAAGGUGGGGAUGACGUCAAGUCAGCAUGGCCUUUAUGUCCUGGGCUACACACACGCUACAAUGGCCAGUACAAUGGGUAGCGAAGUCGCGAGGCGAAGCCAAUCCACAAAGCUGGUCUCAGUUCAGAUUGCAGGCUGCAACCCGCCUGCAUGAAGACGGAGUUGCUAGUAACCGCAGGUCAGCUAUACUGCGGUGAAUACGUUCCCGGGCCUUGUACACACCGCCCGUCACGUCAUGGGAGCUGGUAACACCUGAAGCCGGUAUCCGAACCGCAAGGAAGGAGCCGUCGAGGGUGGGGCUGGUGACUGGGACGAAGUCGUAACAAGGUAGGUGUACCGGAAGG
rnacentral:rRNA from 1 species